rnacentral:sRNA from 1 species
GGUUUGCGUGAAGGAUGGCAGUGGAAAUCCUUUUAUGGAGCGCAGCGGAAUAAAAGAUUGUAACGAACAGCCUGACCCGGA